CUAAGCCAUGCAUGUCUAAGUACAGACCGCUUACGAAUCGGUGACACCGCGAAUGGCUCAUUAGAUCGAUCAUUGUUCCUUAGAUCGUACGUGCUGGUUGCAGCGAGUUGGAUAACUGUGGCAAUUCUAGAGCUAAUACAUGCAAGACGAGUCUGCGCGUGGCUUUCGCGGUCGCACGCGGGCGCUUUUAUUAGACCUUACGAGCCGUGGCGGGUUUACCCGUCUCGGCGGUGGUGACUCUGAAUAACUCUUUCGAGCUGAUCGCACGCCGGCCCUCGCGGGUUGGUGGCGACGUAUCUUUCAAGUGUUCGGCCUAUCAAGUUUCGACGGUAGCCGACUUGGCUACCGUGCUACUGACGGGUACCGGGGAAUCUGGGUUCGAUUCCGGAGAGGGAGCAUGAGAAACGGCUACCACGUCCAAGGAGGCAGCAGGCGCGCAAAUUACCCACUCCCGGCACGGGGAGGUAGUGACGAAAAAUACCGAUGCGGGGCCCCCCGCGGGGCUCUCGUAAUCUGGACUGAGUACAUUCUAAACCCUUGCUUAGCGAGGAUCUACUGGAGGGCAAGUCUGGUGCCAGCAGCCGCGGUAAUUCCAGCUCCAGCAGCGUAUACUAAAGUUGUUGCAGUUAAAAAGCUCGUAGUUGGAUGUCGGUACGAUUGAGAGCGGUGUGCUGGUGGUUAACGCCAUCCCGUCGCCUCUCGNNNNNNNNNNNNNNNNNNNNNNNNNNNNNNNNNNNNNNNNNNNNNNNNNNNNNNNNNNNNNNNNNNNNNNNNUUAGUCUAGCGUUCGCGGUCUUUACUUUGAAAAAAUGAGAGUGUUCAAGACGGGCCAUAGCGCCUGAAUAGCGAAAGCAUGGAAUAAUGGAAUAGGAGCGGCGCCCUCGCUGGCGCUGCUAAUGAUGAAAAGAGACGGUCGGGGGCAUUCGUAUUGCGGCGUGAGAGGUGAAAUUCUUGGACCGUCGCAAGACGAACUGGUGCGAAAGCGUUUGCCAUGGACGUUUUCAUUAAUCGAGAGCGAAAGUCAGAGGCUCGAAGACGAUCAGAUACCGUCGUAGUUCUGACCGUAAACGAUGUCGACCGGGGCUCGGCGGCCCGUCGUUGUCUUUAGUACUAGUGACUCCGCCGGUACCCUUCCCCCGCGGGAAACCUUUGAGUUUUUGGAUUCCGGGGGGAGUAUGGUUGCAAAGCUGAAACUUAAAGGAAUUGACGGAAGGGCACCACCAGGAGUGGAGCCUGCGGCUUAAUUUGACUCAACACGGGAAAGCUUACCCGGCCCGGACACCGUGAGGAUUGACAGAUUGAGAGCUCUUUCUCGAUUCGGUGGAUGGUGGUGCAUGGCCGUUCUUAGUUGGUGGAGUGAUUUGUCUGGUUGAUUCCGAUAACGAACGAGACUCUAGCCUGCUAACUAGUGCGAGCGGGGAGCUAGUGCCCCCUCCGGGGGGUCGGCUUUGGUCGGUGCUUUUUAUAGAGUGCCUUCCGUUGGCCCGCUCGCCGUGCUGUCGCGGUGCUUUCGGGUUGCCGUGCAGCGACUUCUUAGAGGGACAAGCGGUUCUAAAGCCGCACGAGAUUGAGCGAUAACAGGUCUGUGAUGCCCUUAGAUGUUCGGGGCCGCACGCGCGCUACACUGAAGGUACCAGAGGGUGUGAACACUCCCGCCCCGAAGCGGGGCGGGUAAACCGUAGAACAACCUUCGUGGCUUGGGACCGGGGCUUGGAACUGUUGCCCGCGAACGAGGAAUUCCCAGUAAGCGCGAGUCAUAAGCUGGCGUUGAUUACGUCCCUGCCCUUUGUACACACCGCCCGUCGCUACUACCGAUUGGACGGUUUAGCGAGGCCCCCGGAUCAGCGCGCUGUGCCCUGUCAGCGGCGGUAUUGCCUUUACGGGUUAGUGCCGUCGUGGGGUGCGGCGAUUGCUGAGAAGAUGGUCGAACUUGACCGUCUA
rnacentral:rRNA from 1 species